GUACAAAGUCCGAUUCGGGCCUCAACUAAACAAGGCCCUAGUUAUUCGGAGCUUCCUUCUCGGUGGGUCUGCUGGUUUUUUAAAAACAGCAACAGAAGGAUCCCCGAGUACGAAAGGUGGUGGCUUUGCUCAUCUAGGGGCUCGACGGGGCGUUCAGGCAUUUCGUCGAACACGUUGUGGGCGAGGUGGAGGCUGGCUGUGUUCCAGAAGCUGAGAUGCAGCAGCUUGGCGUCGUUAUUCAGUCUUGGUUCAGUGUAGUCGUCGCUGACCGGGACUGCAGCUUGGCGUAGAUCAGGCAGCGGCAACUGUAGCUGCUGCGGACGUCGGCGGCACUGCCGCUGCUUCGGCUCGAGCUCCAUGUGGCACAGUCCUCCGGCUCCCUCCCACAGUCGUCGUUGGGGAGGAAGCUGACGCUGUGCUGCUGCGCGGCCCUUCGGCGAACAGCCCGGGCACCACGGCCAUGCCCAGACCAAAACGCCACAGCGUGUCCAGGCGGCGGUGUUCCAGCCUAGCUGCUGGUUCGGCUUGCGCCUGGGCAAGAGAAGGGAAGGGGAGCAGAGCUGCUGCUGUUGGAAUUGGCUUGGAUUGGAAAACAGAGGAGGGAGAUAGCGAUGGGAGAGGUGCUCCUGCUUGUGGUGCUUGACGGUUAAUCGGAGAAGAGCUGAACGUGCUUAUUGAUUUGGGAAAGAAAAGAACCAAGCUGUUUGCUUGCUUGAUCGGUGGAGCAGAAGAUAGCGAGAAAGAGAGAAGGGAGCAGGCUGCUGGUUCUUGCGGUGGAGAAAAAGACGGGGGGAAGAGAUCGAGCUGAGAGGGCAGGGAGGCAAGAUGCAGGAGAAAGAACAAGAGGGGCUCUGGCUUGCGGUGGAAGGAGAGGGCAGAAGAGAGCAGGGUGCGGCGGCGGCUUGGGAGGAGAGAAGAGGGAGGGUAAGUGGUGAGAGGGUGGGAGGGUGAGUGGUGAG
rnacentral:lncRNA from 1 species